UAUAGAGUUCUCAAUUGAUUUUAUGACACCAGCGAAGACAAUAGGCAGGCUGAACGAAGAAAUAAAGAAGCAUUUGGAGACCAAUACCUUGUGGCAUCCUAACCACCUUGUGGUUGUGAAGGAGAUUGAGAAUGUCAAUAAGAUAAAGAUGGCUCUCUAUUGUAAUCAUACAAUGAACUUCCAGGACUUUAGAGAGAAGAACAGGCGUAGAACUGAAUUGGUCCUUGAAUUGAAGAGAAUUUUUGAGGAGCUGGGUGUAAGAUACAAUCUCCUUCCCCAACAUGUGAAUCUCAACCAAGUGAAUCGAGACAGGCCAGAAGCAACAUACGAGACCACCUGAUUGCUCAAGAAUGCCUUAUAUGAUUGGGAUGGCAACAGGCAGGUACUGUUAUGGGAGCUCGGCCAAGAGUCGUAAUCAAGCCCUUUAGUUGCUAUAAUCUUAACAUGGGUGAGAGAAGAAUGAUCACGCACAAAUAGGAAGGCAUUUUCAUGGUGGUAAAUAUAAGUAAAUAUUUAGUUCUGUGAUAUUUUCAAAUGUAAGCUUAUUAGUGUAUCUAUGGACUUGAAAGGGUUAAGACCACGGAUGCUAUGUAGCAUUAUGGAUUGGUUCAAGUUUUGUUUCCCUUGUUAAGUCUUAAAAUAAGAUGAAUGCAUUUUGACUUUUGCCAUGAUUCAAGUCUGUAAUCCCAUAU